rnacentral:rRNA from 1 species
AUUGAACGCUGGCGGCAGGCUUAACACAUGCAAGUCGAGCGGGGGAGGUUGCUUCGGUAACUGACCUAGCGGCGGACGGGUGAGUAAUGCUUAGGAAUCUGCCUAUUAGUGGGGGACAACAUCUCGAAAGGGAUGCUAAUACCGCAUACGUCCUACGGGAGAAAGCAGGGGACCUUCGGGCCUUGCGCUAAUAGAUGAGCCUAAGUCGGAUUAGCUAGUUGGUGGGGUAAAGGCCUACCAAGGCGACGAUCUGUAGCGGGUCUGAGAGGAUGAGCCGCCACACUGGGACUGAGACACGGCCCAGACUCCGACGGGAGGCAGCAGUGGGGAAUAUUGGACAAUGGGGGGAACCCUGAUCCAGCCAUGCCGCGUGUGUGAAGAAGGCCUUUUGGUUGUAAAGCACUUUAAGCGAGGAGGAGGCUACUGGUAUUAAUACUACCGGAUAGUGGACGUUACUCGCAGAAUAAGCACCGGCUAACUCUGUGCCAGCCGCCGCAGUAAAAC